GGGAGGGAGGGAGGAGGUGCCUCUCUCUCUCUCUCUCUCUUGUUUCUCUCUCCUGGUUGUUACUGGUAUCGUGCUGCCUCUUUCUCUCUCUUGCUGCCUCCUUUCCGCUUUGCCUUUUUGGGAGGAGAGGGAAAGUGAGGGGGGGGGAGGGGGGGGGAGAGGACUUGGCUGCUCCGGUACGGCGAGGCUUGAGGCUGAGGCGAGGCGCCCGCCCGCCUGCUGCCUCCUUUUCCUUUUGUUCCCUUCUCUCUCCUCCCCCCGUAUUGCCCGCCCGCUGGGCUGCGAUUUUGCGGGAAACACCUCGUCGUGCUGGGGAAUUUCGGCGGGGUUGGAAGCAAAGGACAACGUCAUUUUGUUUUAAU
rnacentral:lncRNA from 1 species